GUUAACAUUGCCAUAAUACACCUGUUUCGACGAGUCAUCCCAAUAUGCCUGCCAUCCUGAGGGGAGAUCUUUUGAGAUUUCCGCCAGGUCAGGCUGCCGGUUUCCAUCUGUGGAUGCUUCAGCAGGGGAUUGAGUAACUUCACUUGAUGAUUGAGCUCUCCUUCGCUUUACCCGCUCGCGCCAAUCACCCCCAAGAGGCUGAAAGUUGGCGUUUUCUUUUG
rnacentral:misc_RNA from 1 species